CCUACGGGAGGCAGCAGUGCAGAAUACUUGACAGUGGGCGCAAGCGUGAUCCAGCGACGCCGCGUGAGUGAUGAAUGCCUUCGGGUUGUAAAGCUCUGUUGAGCGAGAAGAUAACAAUUGUGACGUAAUCCCUAGCUCUUGACGGUACCCCCAUACAACCCCCGGGCUAACUCUGUGCCAGCAGCCGCGGUAAU
rnacentral:rRNA from 2 species